AUUGUUUCAACCUUUAUUAAACAUAGCUUGCAAGAGAUAAAUAUUACAAAGUUAUUUCCUCCAAAAUUAGCUUAUUUUUUCAAUCAAUGCAUAAUUGUCAAUCAACUGGCAGUAUUCAAACAGCAUUAUUUUCUUCUACUUUUUUGAAGACCAUUAAAUAUCAAGUAUGUGCAAAAGGUCAGGAUUGAUGUAAGCAAAACUAAAAUGACUCAAAUAGUCUCUGGUCAGCAUCAUCAUUUGUUUUUGAUUCCCAGGAUGUUUAUUUCAAUGUUGUCAACACUAUGCAAAAUGCUUCUACAUGAAAAUUGAUAUAACUGAUUUUGCACUUAAAUCUUUCCCUGCAUUAGCAACAACAACUAAUAGAAUAUAAAGCCAAACAGUACAGGACCAUACAUGUUGUAUGCUGGUGUUGGCAGAAAAAGUGAUCACUGAUUCAGAGCGAACCCUUCACAGGUGAAGCAGGUCGGACCAGGAAACACCUACUGUGAGAGCUUAUUGGCAAAGUCUGACAUACGCGGUUAUAUUCAGUAGACUAUUUUAUGCCAAAAACACAAUAGUGUUACCCCUAGAAUUACAUAUUUCUUAGUGAGGAAAGAAAACAAAAUAGAAAUAGCAUGUAAACAAUGCUAAAAAGCUAGAAUCCUCUUGAAACUUUAGUUUGGAUUCUGUCAAUGAUUUUCUGUGUUUAAGCCACUAAUUACCAAUCAUGAUUACUGACCAUUUGUCACUGUCCAUUCAUCAAGUCAAUGAUUUUUUUUGUAUGUUUUAGGAAUCAAUUUCCAUCCUUUGUGCUGCUUACAGUACCACCAGAUGACUUUCCAGAAUCAGUGUCCUUGUUAGAUUUUUCUGUUGAAGAAUCUGUCCCGUGUGUUUGUUGAUUAUUUAUUAACACUGGAACUCUAGAAAUCAUUGAUUUGGAAAUGACUUGUUAUUGUAUCUUACAUCACAAUCAAUUUAGCAUGUACAGCGCAGCAGAGCAACUUUCAGUGGCCGUAGAAAGUCAUUGGCUGCUUGAAUAUGUGGACAUAAGAAAGUGGUCGGCGGUAAUGACUUGCAGCGAACAUCCAAACACUCCAAGGCGUCAGUUUGACUCUGAAUCAAUCAGUUAAGGAGGGUUCAUCUAAUCCAAACAUUCAAAGUGCUUUAAUCUAGAACUUGUUCAGGAAACAAUUCUGUAAGGAACAAAGUUAUUUCAAGCUGCAAAAAUUCAACAGUAGACAAAUGUGUUUCAGACCUGCAGAUUCGAUCACUCUGAACCAGUCAUCACUCCUCUGCAAACGUUAACUAGUCCAAAAUUAAAGCCAAUGCAUCCAGCGAGACUGCUUUAAGAAGCAGAGGGGGGGGGGGGGAAGAAUCCCAAACAUUUUGCACAUUUGUUACACAAUAAUACACAGUGAUCACAAAACGAAAUGACAAGCUUCACAAUAUUCAUGGCUUUUUGUUUGCUUUUCUACACAAUGUACAACCAUUUAAUUUCUUUUUUCAGUACAAGGGAGGAAAAAAUGCUUAUUUACAAUAAGUCAUUAUUACUUCAAACCUAGCAAAUAUCGUGUCAUUUAUUUCAUAGUCAAUACAUUUAUUUAGUUUUUUAAACUGCAAUAGAAACAAAACAGAACUCAAAUGGGACAUCAGAAUAACAAUGACUUUUGAAAUCUAAGAAUUAAUAUUUGAAAAGAAUCUGUAGUCCAAAUACAAAGGUGUGUGGAUGCAUCUGCAAAAGAGUAAGAGAGACAGGAGUUGUUUUUCAUUUUUUAAAUUUAAACUUCACCAUGGCAGCAAAAGUAGAGAUACAUGACAAAAAUUGCUAAAUCAGAUCAUGAGCGGCAGUCAAAAUUUGCCCAGGCAUUAAAAAAAUUGUGAAACUAUAUCACUACGUCCAAUUUCAAUUGUUCCACUAAUGAGAAAAAUGAGACUUUUUAAUAUAUUUAAACAAAAAUCUGUAGUUUGUACAUGUAAACUUCAGUUUACACCUCUGAAACUAAUUCUAGGUAGUUUCAUAGUCUUAGUUUAUGUCUUCUACUUCAGCUGGCUGUUUAUUUUCGGUUCAUUCUGACAUAGUGACAGGCAGGUCUGGAUUACUCAAACACAACCAUAACACGUCCAUCUGACCGUGGCUGAAAAAAAAAAUACAAAAGCAACCACUGUGGCCUGUAGACAGUGAAACUGUAAUGAUGCAGAACAAGUCUAACAGUGACACAGAUUACACAUAAAUACAAUUACAAGAGCUGUGCAAUCGCAUCACAAUCUCAACCAUGUGGAGCUCCAUUCUGGAAUCUAUCAGAGCCAACUGUUAGUUAAUAAAGGCUCCAACAGAUAUUAUUCUCUUGUGUAUUAGAUCAGUUUAAUAACAUUAUAGUAGAAGUAAGCUUUUUAUAUAUUACUGAAGUAACUUCACUGUUCUAAGUGGCCUUCUCUUAAGAUGAGGAGCCCACACAAGAAGUGAAACUGAAGCUAGCUGUGGUAGCCUGGACUAAACAAUACAUUUGCCGUACUGAUUUUUUCAUUUGUACUGGGGGAAAAAAAAUCAAACUAUCAAGUUUUCUGCUACUGAAUUAGCAAGAAAAAUAGAGUGUUUCCCAAAAAAAGGACGAUCACAUGGUUGUUAAAAUACAGAGUUUUCACAUUUUGCUAGUAAUCUGUAGAUGACAAAUAUUUUGUUUAGAACACGACAAAAUAAAGCUCCUGUAUCACGUUUUAGUAUGUUUUCCACAUUUGCCAACCUUUAAUCAGAGAUUUGCAUGGAUUUCAUACUUCAGGUUUUGAAGCAUAAAAUCCCCCAACACAGUAAAAAUAACAAUUAUUAUUAUUAUUAUUAUUAUUAUUAUUAUUAUUAUUAUUAUUAUUAUUAUUAUUCAUCUGCCCAAAAUCUGUGUUGCUGAUAAAAUAUUAUUAGUUUCUUUAUGAUUUCCUGAACUCUGAAAAUUCUAUUUGGGUGUAAUGGUAAAAUAUAUCUAACUACAGCAGCUUACAUUAUAGUAUAAUGUGUUUUCAUCAUUACUUGCUGCCAUAUUUUGUUACUUAAUUAAUGAUAAGAGAGAUCGAGUCCUACAUACAAGAGAAGAAUCCACACGUACAUAAUUGUUACUUCAGCAAACUGCCUUGUGAGAGACUGCAUACAUAGCAUGAAAAGUCUGGGAAAUAACAAACUUGACAUGACAGAAAAAUAUUUGGGAUUUUCACAAGCCAAGCUUUUACCAAGUGAUGAGACUGUAGCGUAGAAAUUCACCUCAGCUGGUAGAGGUUUAGAAAAGUAUGACUGUGAUUAGAUCCUGAUGUAUCCUGGCCUCUGCUAUGACUGAAUGUAAAAGAUGUCAGAUUAUAGAGCUAAGAGAUGAAACAAAACUCCACGUGUGAUUGUGUGUCUGGUAAGGCCAUGCGAUGUUUGUGCACCAGUGCUGGAGCUGAAAGAUGGAAAAAGCCUGAUGUUUAGACUGUGUCCUAUGUGCAGAGAAAGCCUUUAACUAGAAGCUUUAAGGCUUUCUUUUAUUUUUUAAAUGAGAUGUUUUUGGGCAGCGUGAUGCGGCAAAUUAGUUUUUUUUUAAGAGAUGAUAGUAAGUAAUGAAACUAAGCGGAACAGAGGUGAGCCUAAGAGUGGAUCUUUGGUAGCUAGUUUAGCUAACUAGCUGUGUGGGUUCAUUCAGCCAAGCGGUUAAAACAUACUACUGCUUGCUGCUUAGUGUAAAGCCAUCAGUUAUGUUCAGAUUCAAGGAGAUGGCUGGUGAGGUCCAGACAGACACACUCUUCCCUAUUAAGUGCUUUAGUUUCCCAUUUAAUUUUUAGGGAGAACUUAAAACUUUUUAGGAUUUUUUUUUUUAAGCAGUGUAAUUUUAGAAAUGGGUUUUUAACCGUUACAUUUGCUUAUCUUCAAUUUUUUGCAUCAUUGUACAUUUUGAAUCACUUGCAGGCAAAAGUCUACAGUCACACUAUGGCUGUGUGUCUUUACCUGGACUUUGACAGUGCUUUGAGCUAUAUGCCAGUGUCAAGG
ensembl:lncRNA